rnacentral:rRNA from 1 species
UACGUAGGGGGCAAGCGUUGUCCGGAAUCAUUGGGCGUAAAGAGCGUGUAGGCGGUCCGGUAAGUCCGCUGUGAAAGUCGGGGGCUUAACCCUCGGAUGCCGGUGGAUACUGUCGGGCUUGAGUACGGAAGAGGCGAGUGGAAUUCUUGGUGUAGCGGUGAAAUGCGCAGAUAUCGGGAGGAACACCAAUGGCGAAGGCAGCUUGCUGGGACGGUACUGACGCUGAGACGCGAAAGCGUGGGGAGCAAACAGGG